GGAGGGUUAGCCUAAUUGGUUAAGGCACUGGUCUCGAAAACCAGCGUGGGUAUAAAAGCCCUUCGGAGUUCAAGUCUCCGACCUUCCGCCA
rnacentral:tRNA from 1 species